UACAAGGAAUAAUCAAACAACCCACUAAUUAAGAAUCAAUAUACAACGUUAAUUAUUAUUAUUUUAUUAUUAAUUUUGAGCUUAUAAAUGUAAGUACGAGGAGGUGUGGAAAGGUAAGGUCCAAAAGUAUAUUGAAAGGGAAAUGAAGAAAGGAAGUGUAGGGAGUCUUGUCGCAGGAGGGACGGCACUGCAGGCUGCAGCCUCCUUGCUUUGCUUGGUGCUUGGUGCUUGGUGCUUGGUGUUGGUGGUGUGCUUUGUUAACCUAAUGCUCUGCUUGCUAGUGCCGUCGCUAUGCGACCAGAUACCCUGCAACUUCUGCAUGCAGCUUCUUGAUUGAUUAAAGCCUUGGAAAAGGUACACACAACAAACUCCAUUUCUACACCCUGAAUUAUAUCUAGCUCUAUACCAACAAUCAAUAUAAACCUAGUAAAUUAAUUGGUGUCAUUUUCAACAUGAUUUCAUGUUCUGCAAAAUAUAUAUAACAUCAUCAAAUGAAGCUUGACCCUGUCCAAAUAUGAUUGUUUUAGCAGAUAAUGCUACAUUAUUGUUAAUUACAGGAGGUCUACUGAGAUGAUCGCCUUAUCAUCGAUCUAACCACUAAAAUCAGGACUAAUUAAGUUCCAUCAAUCAUUAGAGUUACGUAACGAGAGAUGUGAGACACCAUAAAUAUAUUACUGAUCAAUAAAAAUAAUAACAGUAUGUUUGCAGAUGGGUUCAUCUCACUCACAGCUGUUUUGCGUUGACAAAUUUCGUGAACAGAUCAUCAAAUUCAUAUAUAUAUAUAUAUAUGUGUGUGUGUGUCCCCUUAUCCAUGACCAUGAGACUUGGUAAUGGAAUGCUACUAGUAGUUCCCUAACUCCAAUAUUACCUACCUUAUAAUAAUUUUGUAAAGAGCGAGAAAUUUGGAGUUUAUGUUUGCCCCUUAUGAUUAGGGGUCGCAUGUAUAUAUAUUUAUAGUUUAAGAAUUAAGUACUGGUACUAUAUAUUAAUUAAAGAUAUAUAUAGUACUAUACGGCUUUAAUUAAAGAUAUAUAUGGUACUAUAUAUUAACUAAAGAUAUACAUGUACUGUAUGUCUAUAUAACACUCUCAAAAUCCCUAUUUCUCGUAAAUGUAAGAAUUCAAAACAUACAAUUCUAAAAUGAAGAGAGAGAUCAUAUAUAUCAUCAAAUUCGUAGGGGCUUCUGUCGUAGGAGAGAUGGCGCCAAAUGCAAUCAUAUUGGUUUGGUACUAAUUAUGGUAGAAUUAAAGCUAAGCCAAUUUGGGCACCGGGUUUCAUCUCUCCUCGACUGAAGCCCCUCACUUUGAUCAUCGCCAACUGGGAAAAGAAAACAACCCCCAGCUUUAUUCAUUUCUAAUUCCAAGCUUGAGAAAGAUCAAGGGAAAGGAUAAAAGAAAUUAGGUACCUCAAGAUCCAAGCCGAGGCCAAAUGCACCUUUGUUUAUCUUCUCCUUUUAGCUUGAUCAGGCCACCUCCGUCGUCCACUUCUGUUCUACAUUCGUGCCGAAAAACGCAUGGCCAGAAGACGAGGGUUUCAUCUUACUUGUUGUGAAGUUGAUGACUUGAAGGCUGAAGGAAGGGUGAGCUGAUUGAGGAUCUUCCUGCUCACAAGAUAUAUGUUCACCACAAAAUUUAGUCGUUUGUAUUGUGGCUGUAUGAAAUUAAUUAAUAACUAAAAAUUAUUAAAGCCUGCACCUGCACCUG